CCGCACGUGCCGGACGUGCACAUUGUGAGCAAAGUGAAGUGAGCACAGUGUAACAUGCUGCCAGUCUGGCCGCUUUAAACACACGUCUUCAGAUAUGCUCCAGUCUCUUUUACAACCCAGUAAUCAACGCACGAAGUGUACAGCAAAAAAAAUGAUCGGGGCUAUGCCAGCAGUAGCCGUUCGGCAUGAGCGGCGCCGGGGGGAGAAGCGCGGCGGGGGGCGGCGCCCCUCGCAGCUUCCUCUGCAGCUGGGCAGGAUGGCAGACCCAUCCAGCCCUGCGUCUGACACCUUCAGCCACAAGUUGUACUUUUGUAGGAAGACCGCUUUCCUUCACGCAGUAGUUGGAUCUCUUCUUCUCGGCAUCGUGGUCCUGGUGGUAGGAUUAGUUCAGUUGUCGCCCGGGGCGGAGGCUGCACAGCAUCGGUAUUUUCUUAUGGGAUCGGGUGGCUUACUUUUUGGAGUUGGAUUGUUGGGAGCCAUAUUGAGGUGCGUCUGCAUACACUGUUACAACCAGAAAUAUGGAGUUGAGUACCAUUCGCCGCGUCGCAUUGAAAUUGGGGAUUACAGAACAUAUCAUGGAGGAGUUUGCGUAGUUGAGACUCCACAAUGCCGACCCAAAUUGAAGACCCAAGCUAGUGUGGGGCAAGUGGAUCUUAUCAAGCAGCCCUCAGCCGGCAGCGAGACUUAAACUGACCAUCUUUCUUGUAAGAUUGUAAGUUGUCAAUGUCGAUAAGGUUAAUUGGAACUUAUAUUUGCAAGAAUUAUUUCGAGUAAUUUAAAUCUCUUUGAAUGAAUAAACAAUAUCCUCGAGCCGAACCCUCUUUUAAAAAAAACUUAAUCUAAUUACAGUUUUGACAACACUUUCCCUUUUAUAAUGCAAAUUUUGACCGAAAGAAUCUAGUAAAGGAAAACAGUGUAGACUAUUUUAGUUUAGACAAAGAGGGUAGUCUAAAAUUUUAUUAAUUUUUAAUCGCAUUGCACAGAAACUCCAUAGUUGUAACUUUGUUUUUGUAUAGAGCACACGCUCUGACUCUAGAGACAAAUGUGUUAUUAAUGUUAUCGACCUUGGUAAUUCACAUUAUAAUAUAUUCGUAUUAUUCUCUAUGUGUAGUAGUUUUAUGUUAAAUAAAAAAAAUAUAGUAAGUAAUAGUAAUCUUACCCUACGGUAAUUUUAGUUUGUAUUUUGAUAUACCUUUUGGAACUCUAUUUCUAGUCCUUUAUUCUUUUUGAGAUUUUUUCACAAAAGUUUUAAAAGGAAUUUUUAGUCUAUGUGGGUUCUAUAGAGAUGUAUUUUGUAGUUGUUAUUUUACAACAUCCUUUCGAAUUUGAUAACUUUUUGUCUAUUAUAUUUUCUGACAUAUCAAAUUGUGGAAUAUCUGACAUAUUAACGUCUGACAGUUCUUGACACUUUGGACAGAUGUGACGUUUUAGAUUAACGACAGGUAAAACUUACAGAUGUAAAACGUCGCAGUAGAAAAAUCACAGAUACAUACAAAAUGGCUUGAAAUGUCACAUCCUUCCACGGACGGGUUGGUUAAUGAGCUUAAUUACGUUAUUGGAGAAAGUAUAUUGAAUUUAAAUUUUACUCAUAAACAUAUAAAGUAUUCUCACAGUCCAUAUGCAGCAAAAAAGUAUGUAUACAAAUAUCUAUGGUUUAUAUUUUCUCUAUAAAUAAUAUAUUUACAUAAGUUUACAUCACAUGAUUGCAGCCAUGUUUUGAAUUAUAAGGAAUAGAUACAAAGUUAUAUAAAAUAUGUUCAUUAUUUAUAUUAAUAAAUAAAAUAAAAAAUAUCUAAUUAUAUCAAAUAACAGAAUAUAUGAUCAUAAUGUACCCCUUAUUUUGUUAAUUGGAAGUCCUAGCAUUUUAAUCAUAAGAGACUGAAAAGAGUGUUCUAAACUAACUUUCUGAUACUCAUUUAAAAAUAUUUGAUUUUUUUUUCACUUGUAGCACGACCCACUUUUAUUUCGCCCACACCGUAAGUUAAGUAUUUAUAAGAUAUAUCAAAUUCUCUUUAUAUAUGGGUCCAAUAAUUGAUCCAUACUUUAUCAAUGUACUAUAUUAUUCAAGGUUACUAUAACCUUUUUUCAUUAUUAUAAAGGAACGCUGUACAUCAUCAUCAAGAUUAUUAUGUGGACUGUGGAGAUAAUUUUAUUUACAAAAAGUUUACGUUCAAAUGCAUUUUUUUUAAUCGUAUUGUAUUUAAGACCACAAAGAUAGCCUUCCUGUUGUGACACAGAUUAACUUUUUUAAAUGAAUUUUGCGUAUAUUUUUUUUUAUUAAACAAAAUCAAAUAAUUAAAGAAUACAGUGUAGUAUGCGAUGCGAACGAGUCAAUUUGUAUAUUCGUGUUCGUUUCGAUUUUGGAAGUUUUAAAGCUUCACAGUCCAAAUAAUAAAGUUACGUAGGUAAAUGAUUGAAGACAUAUAUUAACUUGUUGUUGUAAUUGGUGUAUAGUUUUAGGGCUAAGAUAUGGGUGUUAGUUGAAAUACUCUCUGAACCAUUACGCUUUAACCAACGCUUUUACAUAAAGUUGCCAAAUCUUAGAAUAUACAUUAUUUUUUUGAUCUAUGCCCUGAGAUUAACAAUUGAACGCUUACGUAAAAUACUAUCAAAUUGUUACAUUAUAACAUGAUUUGUUCGUUACCGUUUAAUAGUCACAUAGGUAAAGAGGUUAUCGUGUUGCUCAGACCUGGGGUCGUUUAUUUCUUAGUGUUCAAAAUUUAUACGUUCCGUUCACCCUAAGUACGACGUAAAGGGAGUUUAGUUUUCAAUACAUUUGUAUUAUUUUAACUAUUUGUUUGCAUUUACGAUUCGAUAUGUGUUUCGUAUUAAGGGUACAUAAGCAGUAAUUUCAAGGGAAAGUUUACUCCUAAGCAUUAACUUCUGGAACCUUCAGAUGGCUCGACUCUUAUGUUUUAACAGGCCUCAUAAAAAUAGCCAAAAUGUAUAUUCUAAGAACCAAAAUAUUUUCGCUUUUCAGACUGAAUUGUUUCUAGAACUUAUAGCGGUUAACAAAUUUAAUUCCAUAGAUAUUAUUACGAUUGCUUAUAUAAUAACUAGAGCUUUUAAGAUUUUAUUGCCGUGCCAAAUUUUGUCGAAUUUCAUUGUUAUAAGUAAUUUAAGCGUUGGAUAUCACUAUGCUUGUUGUAAUUUUGUUAUAAUGUUUUCAACAAACAAAUAAUUUAGUAUUUUGUCGUUAUUUCUAGUAAUAUUUUAUAUCAUUAUAAAUAAAAACAAAAAACGAUACGUUGCGUCCAAAUGGGCUGCUUAGAAAUCGUUUCGUCUUUUGUUUUUUACUCUCAUCUAAUGAAUUUUUUUUAUUAAUUUGUUUAGCUGAUUUCAUGAUAAUCUUAGUUUUGUACAGAGCGCAAAUAAAGUAUUAUUUAUUAUCACAUCUUCAUAUUUAUUGUAAAUAUUAACAAAUUGUAUAUUCGACAUAAAUGUGUUUGAAUUCUUUAUUAAAAGAUUUGCGUAUACAUCUAAUAAUCUUCUCAAAUAACAUGUUUUCUUUAUGCGAUAAUCAUUUUUCUUUAUAUAUGCGUAUUCGAAUAAUGAUUAUAAAUGUCAACAAAUAUAAAUAUAUAAAUGGAAAUCAACCCAUGAUCCAUAACGUAACUUUGUGUUAUUUAGGUAUCUUUUGACAAUUGUCAGUAAGUCGUCAUACAUUCCGAGUGUAUUGAAUAGCCAAAAAUAACUUAGAUAAGUGUAUUAAUGUAAACUAAAUUAUAGUAUAUUAUUUAACUGAAUAAAUUAAAAGAAAGCUACAAUAACGGCAAACACCUGUUUCUUAGUUUAAAUAAUUAUGUUAAUUAUACUCGAUGAAAUAAAUAAAUAAUCUUUACUAAAAGUUUUAUUUUUAUUAAUUAAACCAAGAGAAUUGAUAUUGCGGGCUACUUAGUACAGUAUUUUUUUAAACAUAAAUAGCGAAAUUAUUCUCUCAGUACAUUUAAUAAGCUAAUGAAAAGCGUUUGUAUCCAUUAUAACUUUCUUUUAGUCAUAUGUAUUAUAUUAUAUUAAUCGAUGUUAUUUCUGAGUAACAAUGUAAUCGUAAAUGUUG